GUCCAUGCCGUAAACGUUGGGCACUAGGUGUGGGGCUCAUUCCACGAGUUCCGUGCCGCAGCAAACGCAUUAAGUGCCCCGCCUGGGGAGUACGGCCGCAAGGCUAAAACUCAAAGAAAUUGACGGGGGCCCGCACAAGCGGCGGAGCAUGCGGAUUAAUUCGAUGCAACGCGAAGAACCUUACCAAGGCUUGACAUACACCGGAAAAGUGCAGAGAUGUGCUCCCCGCAAGGUCGGUGUACAGGUGGUGCAUGGUUGUCGU
rnacentral:rRNA from 1 species